rnacentral:rRNA from 1 species
GAUGAACGCUGACAGAAUGCUUAACACAUGCAAGUCUUUGGCGAAGCUGUGCUUGCACAGCCUAGCCAAGGCGGACGGGUGAGUAACGCGUAAGGAACUUGCCCUGCAGUCAGGGAUAACAGACGGAAACGACUGAUAAGACCUGGUAAAGUCAGGCGGACUCAUGUCCAGCCUGAAGAAAAGAGAUGCUGCAGGAGAGCCUUGCGUCCUAUUAGCUUGUUGGUGGGGUAACGGCCCACCAAGGCGAUGAUAGGUAGCCGGCCUGAGAGGGUGGACGGCCACAAGGGGACUGAGAUACGGCCCUUACUCCUACGGGAGGCAGCAGUGGGGAAUAUUGGACAAUGGGGGCAACCCUGAUCCAGCAAUUCUGUGUGCACGAUGAAGGUUUUCGGAUUGUAAAGUGCUUUCAGCAGGGAAGAAAAAAAUGACGGUACCUGCAGAAGAAGCGACGGCUAAAUACGUG